CAAUUUGCUAAAUAAAAGGAUCUGUCUUGCAUCAGUCACAUGAUCACCAUUAACCAAUGAUCGCCCUUGACGGCAGAACGCGCUGGUUACGAGCCGGGAACGAGCUCAUAAAGAGCACGCGCAUUUUUAGCGGUCCGGAGCUGUAGGAGAAACACAAAUUACCUCAGGCACACAGACUGAUGCGACAAAACCGACAUGACUGGUUAGGACAUGAGGAGGAAACAGUAGGAGCUGUGUGAGGCUACUAAAGGCAGUGGAUCCCUCAGCAGCUGGAUUACAAAGAACACAGGUAACAUUAACACAUGUACCAGUUGUUGGAGAGGUAUUCCAGUAUAAAAAUAAUAAUAAGCACAACUGGAAUGUUUUGCUUCUAUAACAUUUUUCUGUCAUCAUUUUAUUAUAGAUUAAAUGCAGCAGUUGUUAGGUGUGGAUAAUUAUAUAAUAGUUUAUUGCAAUAGCAAGUUGUGCCUUGUUCUCAGAUAGACAGCAAGUGGAGAGUGAUAUGUGAAAUGAGGGGAUGGAAAGAAGAAGAGAAGCAGCGUGAUUCACAGGCAGAGCCUUGUUUAUUUCUCACAGUUUUUUGUUGCUUUGUGGUUCCAAGCCCAUUUUCUUAUGUUCUUUGCAUUUAGUUAUUAUCUCAUGACACUUGUUUAAUCAGCUACCAUCUCUCCUAUGAACAUUUUAAUGUCUACAGUCUCAGAUCAGCACAGCCCUGCCCUCCAGCACUAUCAGCAGCAGGAGCAGCAGCAACCCCUCAACAGCAACAUUGUACCCAUCAGGUAAAACAUAGGCUACGUUUGCUUUGCCUUGUUGCCACCUCACAACAGUAAUGUAGUAUGAUGCGAUCCCAUAUUAGAUUCUUGAUGAAUGUGUGUUGUUGUUAUUCAGCCUGGUUCAAUGUGCCCCUUUUUAACUUUGAGCACCCGCCCCUUUAAACGUCUCUGCACGGCCCUGUUGUACACUGUAAGGUAUUGUACUUUCCAUGGAAUGAUUUUGUAUCUUUUACAUUUCAAAUAUUGUAGACAUCUAUAAAAUAUAUUGUGAAUGACACUAAGUGAAAAUUAAAAUGAAAGUAUUGUGAAUGUAAUAUUACCCAUUUGACUCAGAGUUUAUUAUAAAAUUCUAUUCAGAAAAAUAAGUUUAUCCAAUGUUUUUGCAUUCAGUCUAUUGCGUUUUUUUGACACCAUUUCCCCAGCUUUGGAAAACACGCUCACAGGGCACAGAUGAAGCUGGGGUACACAAAAACUGUAAAGCCAGGUGGAAAAAGUUCUGAUAAGAUGUCUUCCUAUUCCCCCAGUACGUUAAAGGAUCCUCUGAUCUUGGAAUGUUUCUCUCCGAC
ensembl:lncRNA